rnacentral:misc_RNA from 1 species
UUUUUUUUUUUUUUUUUUUGGAGCAAAUAUAUAUGAAACAAUCUUAAUUGCAUGUAAAUAUUUAAUUUUAUUGAAAGUAUAUAAUACAUAUAAAAAGUUAUAGAAAAAUCCAUGUAUAAAAUCGGUUAUCAGUUUGGUUUCGGUUCGGUUCAUAGUGAAGAACUAGAACUGCAGCAAAACAUUAAAAUAAAUUCAGUUCGGUAUGGUUCUUUGGUUCGAUUCGGGACCCCUGAGAACCGUGCAUAGCCCUAAUCACCACAGCCUUUUACCAUCAUCACAUUCCUUGUCCAUAUCACUUCUGCAGUGAACCAGCCAUUGCCACCACUGCAACCCCUGCCCUUAUCGCCAUUAGAGCCACCAUCUAGCUGUUGUAACCACUCACCACCCUCUAGCUACUACAAACAUCACUACCACUUGGUGAUCAACACCAUCACCACUAUCAAAUAAACUAAAUAUGGUAAUGAAAAUUAUUUUUCCAUUCCAUUGCACAUUUUUCAUGUUAUUACAUUUCAAUUUCAUCCAUAGUCUUAUUGUUAUUGUCUGUUCAUUUUAUGUGAAUAGCUUUGAAGUUGUCAAUGUUCUACCUCUUUGCUUCAUGAGUUUAGAAGUUUAUAAUUGUCCUUGUGUUUAGACUAUUAACUUUAGAUUCAUGCUUUAGACAUUGUUAAGUUUGGUCAAUUUGAUUUUAAAAAUGGUGUUAAUAUUUUGAAUUUGUUAUGAAUUUUAGGUCUUAAUUCUGAUUUUUUUUCUUUUCAAAUUUUAUAUUUUUGUGCUCGACCUAGGCUUUGAGACUCCUUCCCACCUUACUUCCUUAAUAACUUUGUGCAUCACCAUUUGAUUGUGAUGCUUGAAUGAGGGAUUAAAAUUUGCUUGUUAGGGUAUUUGGCAAUCUGCAAUUAUUUAUGGUAAUUAAACACUAUCCCCAUGUUUGGAAUCUAUAACUUUACAAAAAUUGAAUUCA